AACUGAUACUACCUGCGGGAACCUGCGGAGGGAUCAUUACCGAGUCUGGGGCUCUGCUCCAACUCCCACCCUUGUUUACCAAGUGUUGCUUCGGCGAGACGUUGGAAGCAACCAUCGGUGAUUUGUCACAAAUGAACCGAUGCGCGCUCGCCGGACUCCAAAUACUCUAGACUAUGUACCGUCAGAUGAAACAAGCAAUGAAUAAAAACUUUUAACAAUGGAUCUCUAGAUCGGAAGAGC
rnacentral:misc_RNA from 1 species